rnacentral:lncRNA from 1 species
GCACUUCCGGAGUGAGGCAAUGCCUCGCCCUGCUUCGGCUCGCGCACGGUGCGCGCACCCACUGGCCUGCGCCCACUGUCUGGCACUCCCUAGUGAGAUGAACCCGGUACCUCAGAUGGAAAUGCAGAAAUCACCCGUCUUCUGCGUCGCUCACGCUGGGAGCUGUAGAGCGGAGCUGUUCCUAUUCGGCCAUCUUGGCUCCUCCGGCUUACAUUCUUGAAGUCAUUAAAGAAGCAACCCAUGGCAAAACUAGUUAUUUUCUUAAAACAGUAGGAAGAAGAAAAGCUUUUUGAAUGAAUCACUUCUCAUCUUCUCCGAAGUUGGAAGCAUCAAGAAUCUAAAUAAGCAUUUAUGAUGGCUGGCAUGAAUAUGUCUAUAGGUCCACUGAUACGGCUUUGCUACUCUACCCCGACACCCUGAGGACUAAUCUAUUAAUAGUAUGUACUUCUUAUAAUGAUGAGUGAGGCACAAAAGAGGAAGCAGAAACGUAAGAGACCUUCUAAAGCCUAUUCUCAGAACUGCCAUACUGUCGUUUCUGCCUCUGGCCAAAACAGGUCAUCAGGUACAAAGUCAAGAGCCCAAAGCCACAUGGUCCUAAGAUGAAGAAAGCCUGUGGAUUCAGGAACAGAUGAAUUUUAGGAGCCAACAACGCAAUCUACCACUUGCCUCUCUUAAGAAAUAUCAUUGUUUACCUAUGUGGCGGAAGAUAGAAUGGGAGUCCUAGUUGACCUUCAUAUAAUUUUUAGAAGAUGGAGCACUUCAACUUCUUCCACUCAUGAAAAGAGAGGUGACAGGUGAAGACAGAACAAGAAAACAAACCAAGAAUUUCCCCUCACCAGCCACCAGCUCUGCCAGCAACUUGAUCUUAGACUUCCCAGCCUCCGUAACGCCUCUGCUUAUAAUCUGUCAUGGAUUGGAAAACUAGAAAAAACAGUUUACAGAGUAUAACAAACUUUGGAGGAGUUAAUCGACUCUAAGUAAAAGAGUAUCUAGCACGGCUGUGGAACAAAGGAGAGACUCACAAACUGUUGAAAGAAUAAAUGAAUGAAUGAAUUCUGUUCAUGAGCUUUAAUAAAACAGCUCUGAGUAGUAACAGUGGAUCAAAUUUAGGCUUCUUGAUGCAGGCAUGGUGUAGAUUACUACUUCUGUAUUGUCCCAGGAGCUCAGCACAUUCCUGCAGAGAUGAUAGGAGCUCAUCUGAUACUUGUCAGCUUUGAAUAAACUCCAGUCCCCAAGAGAGAGAAUGAGAAUCACCGGAAUACGAAACUUCCCUGUUGGACUUCCCAACAUUCUUGAAUGCACCAAGAUAGCCUCUUGCUGUGAGAUUAAUAAAUGAAUAAAUGCCUCCAUAUUUUUCAAAUCUGUGAAGUUAACAACAUGUAGAUUUUUUUGCAUAUUUAAAAACUGCAACUAAAUCUUAAUGCCUCUGAAGCAGAUGGAAGAAAAUAAUAGGCUUCCAUUAACUGUGUCAAAUUGUAUAGGUCUUGGCCAUCACUGGUCCUGUUGUGAUGAAGGUUUUUUGCCCUUGGAUAUAAUUUAAUUUUCAAUUCUUCUAAUUAUGGUACUUCAGAACAUCAAUAUUUGAGAUGAACUUCUCUAGUGUCAAGGACUGAUUUGAGUUGUGUAAACCCUGAAUAUCUGAGACAGGUCUCGAUUAUUUUAGAAAGUUUAUUUUGCCAAGGUUGAGGAUGUGUGCCUGUGACACGGCCUCGGGAGGUCCUGAGGACAUGUGCUCAAGGUGGUCAGAGCACAGCUUUGCUUUAUACAUUUUAGAGAGACAUGAGACAUCAACCGACAUAUGUAAGAUGAACAUUGGUUCCAUCUGGAAAGGCGAGACAACUUCAAACGAGGAGGGGGCUUCCAGGUCAUAGGUAGAUAAGAGACAAAUGGCUGCAUUCUUUUGAGUUUCUGAUUAGCCUUUCCAAAGGAGGCAAUUAGAGUGAGCAAAAUGAACAAAAUCAAUUAUUUUGAUUCUGAACAAAAUGGGAGGCUGGUUUUCCCUAAGCAGUUCCCAGCUUGACUUUUCCCUUUAGCUGAGGGAUUUGGGGGGCCCAAGAUUUAUUUUUCUUUCACCGUUGUAUCAAACUACACAGGCGGCCUUGGAAACCAUCACAGUUGAGAGUAGGUAACGCCCAUUUGUUGCAUAGUUUUGUGCUCCACACUCUUAUCUACAAAAUUAUGAAUUUUUUUACAUAUAUUAAUUUCAGAAAAACUAAAAAUAAAACAAAGUAGUUUCAAACUAGUAUUGUUUUUAUAUCUUAAAAAUAAAGCUUUAUAUACUCUCCUUAC